rnacentral:rRNA from 1 species
AGUGAACGCUGGCGGUAGGCCUAACACAUGCAAGUCGAACGGCAGCACAGUAAGAGCUUGCUCUUACGGGUGGCGAGUGGCGGACGGGUGAGGAAUACAUCGGAAUCUACUUUUUCGUGGGGGAUAACGUAGGGAAACUUACGCUAAUACCGCAUACGACCUACGGGUGAAAGCAGGGGAUCUUCGGACCUUGCGCGAUUGAAUGAGCCGAUGUCGGAUUAGCUAGUUGGCGGGGUAAAGGCCCACCAAGGCGACGAUCCGUAGCUGGUCUGAGAGGAUGAUCAGCCACACUGGAACUGAGACACGGUCCAGACUCCUACGGGAGGCAGCAGUGGGGAAUAUUGGACAAUGGGCGAAAGCCUGAUCCAGCCAUACCGCGUGGGUGAAGAAGGCCUUCGGGUUGUAAAGCCCUUUUGUUUGGAAAGAAAAGCAGCAGGUUAAUACCCCGCUGUUCUGACGGUACCCAAAGAAUAAGCACCGGCUAACUUCGUG